rnacentral:rRNA from 1 species
UUUGAGAGAAGGGAUGACACAGUAGGAUAAGCUAAGCACACUGUUGGUUAUGUGUGCCCAAGCAUUGAGGCAGUCAAAGUAGGCAAAUCCGCUUUGAUAAUGCUGGGAUGUGAUGGGGAGCGAAAUUUAGUAGCGAAGUAGCUGAUUUCACACUGUCAAGAAAAGUCUCUAUCGAGGUUAAAGGUACCCGUACCGCAAACCGACACAGGUGGGUGAGGAGAGUAUCCUAAGGCCAGCGAGAGAACGGUUGUUAAGGAACUCGGCAAAAUGACCCCGUAACUUAGGGAUAAGGGGUGCCACCAUCAGGUGGCCGCAGAGAAUAGGCCCAAGCGACUGUUUACCAAAAACAUAGGUUUCUGCUAAGUCGCAAGACGAUGUAUAGGAGCUGACGCCUGCCCGGUGCUGG